GGUUCAGGACGAACGCUGGCGGCGUGCCUAACACAUGCAAGUCGACGAAGCUCCUGCGUUGAUCUUCGGAUGAAACAAGGGAAGACUUAGUGGCGGACGGGUGAGUAACGCGUGAGCAACCUGCCUUUCAGAGGGGGAUAACAGUUGGAAACGACUGCUAAUACCGCAUAACGUAUUGAUGUCGCAUGGCAUUGAUACCAAAGCUGAGGCGCUGAGAGAUGGGCUCGCGUCCGAUUAGAUAGUUGGUGGGGUAACGGCCUACCAAGUCGACGAUCGGUAGCCGGACUGAGAGGUUGAACGGCCACAUUGGGACUGAGACACGGCCCAGACUCCUACGGGAGGCAGCAGUGGGGGAUAUUGCACAAUGGGCGAAAGCCUGAAUGCAGCAACGCCGCGUGAGGGAAGACGGUUUUCGGAUUGUAAACCUCUGUCUUUGGUGAAGAAGGAAGUGACGGUAGCCAAGGAGGAAGCCACGGCUAACUACGUGCCAGCCGCAGC
rnacentral:rRNA from 1 species